UCCAUUCUUCCAGUAAACAUUAGAAAUCCCACGAAAGAGAAACAUUGCCAUGCAAAUAUUUCAGAUUAAGAUGUUUAAGUCGACACAUUUGGAAAAGAUAUUUAAGACUAGGUUAAGCAAGCCAUUAGUAAAAGACGAGGAAAAAGAGUAGAUGAGAGCUGAUUUUUUCACAGUAUGUGCAUAAGGUUUUGGUUUAAGCAUAGAGUUAAAACGACCCUAUUUGCCGCUGGGCUUUGUUAGAGACAUUUAUAGAACAUACAUUACCCAAUACAGACCCUUUAUAUGUUUUCAUGAGCCUGUACAAGUUAAAUAUGACAUAAAAUAAAGGACAAAUGCACAAAAAGAAACUCCUUGUAGAAGCUGAAAUUAUCAUCAUAAUGAGCUCAAAAGCAACUUAUAACUAUUGUAAACGCUAAAGAACUAUAUAACUAACUAAUGUUCCAUCGAAUUUGCAAAAUCUACUUAUUUCUGGCAAUGAAAAGAAAAGAAAAUCACAGGACUUAAUUUUAUCACCUCGGAGAUGAGUAUUAUGGCCGUUCUGCACUUGAAUCCAGAUCAACUACCCUUCCUCCAAAAACCAUUUGAUGCCAAUAGCAAUCAUCUCCACGAUCAAGCAGCAGCAUGCGAACAGACCACAGAGGCUUUCCAUACACCAAACCACUUCUUAGCCCAUCAAAACCAACAAAUUACCAAGCACUAGUAUUUAAAACACUAUAUUGCGUAAUAACGUCAGUAACAUUAAUGACUUACAAAACCAACAAAUUACCAAGCACUAUAUUUCAAACACUAUAUUGCAUAAUAACAUCAGUAACAUUAUAGACUUACAAUUUCCAUCGCUCUCAA
rnacentral:lncRNA from 1 species